GGAGGAUCCAAGCGUUAUCCGGAAUCAUUGGGUUUAAAGGGUCCGUAGGCGGUUUAAUAAGUCAGUGGUGAAAGCCCAUCGCUCAACGGUGGAACGGCCAUUGAUACUGUUAAACUUGAAUUAUUAGGAAGUAACUAGAAUAUGUAGUGUAGCGGUGAAAUGCUUAGAGAUUACAUGGAAUACCAAUUGCGAAGGCAGGUUACUACUAAUGGAUUGACGCUGAUGGACGAAAGCGUGGGUAGCGAACAGGAUUAGAUACCCUGGUAGUCCACGCCGUAAACGAGGGAUACUAGCUGUUGGAAGCAAUUUCAGUGGCUAAGCGAAAGUGAUAAGUAUCCCACCUGGGGAGUACGUUCGCAAGAAUG
rnacentral:rRNA from 1 species